AGUGGCAGCUUAUGGAUGUGAGACCAUUUGUUUACCCACAGAAUACAGAAAUCACUCUUCUGCCUUUGACCAGAGGUUUCUCUGGGCACCUGGAACUUACUUAGUACCUGAUAAAUGAUUUGCAAACUGUUUGUUAAAUUCAGUUAGUGCCAGUAGAGAGCUCUCCUUCAAACACAUAUUAUGCCUCUCUCAAAGUACAAUCCAGAUUUGGGGCCAUGUGUGAAAUAGUCUGAGCUGUUGAUGCAUUUAAUAAAUACAAGAUUUUCUCAUUGCAUAUCUUAAAGCAAAUAUUUCAUGAUUUGUGCUGUUAUUACAGAUAUUCCAACAGUUCUGCUUUUCAGUAGGGAGUGCAUUAAAACCAAAGAACUCACGGAAAAUCAUAUUGUCCUGGGCUCCUGGUACUUGAAGACUUUGGGAAGUCAUGCAAAAGGAAGAUGCCUUAGAAAGUGUCCAGAUAAAGAUUUUGCAUGGGAAUACCAGCAUAGAACAGAUGAUGGGUGAAAAUUUCUUUCUGAUGGUGUUGGCUCUGGAGAAUGAACCUACCCUCUGGAUAAGGACUGACUGAGAAGUUGGAGAUUCUUCCCCCAUACAUUGCUCAUGAGGAUGGAUUCAUGGAAAAUGCUGCACCAUUGGAAAGCAAGGGUCCAUAUUAAAAAUUUCAUUUUGUGGCCACCUGAUGGUUAUUUUGCAAACUUGCCUCCUCUGCUACAUGAGCUGUGACACCUCUGUGAGCACUGGGGACCAGAGGAGCUUUCCCAGCACCAGACCCAGCACAGACCUCCACAUCCUUCAGUCAGCAUUGAGCCCUGGGAGCCCUGCUGACUCGUUUCUGUGGGCAGACUGGGCUGCACAGGGGAUUCUACAGCGUCUGGAUAUGGCAGAAGACUUCGAAAGGCAACCUUGCAACAUUUGAUUUGGUUUUAUACAAAACCAUCUGUGUUUUCAUAUAUGCAGGUCAGAAAAGUAAGUCUGCAUGAGCCAGCACUCAAAUCCCAGAAACAUUGCUAAAGGAUCAGCAUUGGCCUAUGAGAGGCAGAUAUCAGCUCAGAUACCUUUAAAUAUGUGAAUAAUCUCUAAUUCAGCAUUCCUUUGAUGCAUUAAAUUCUGGCAACUACUUGGGAAAAACCUCUGUGCAAUGAUUUGAGGUGUUUCAAGACUUCCAGGAGUGAAACCUAAGGAGACUUAGACUCUUAAAUCAUGUUGUGGCUUCUGAAGACAUCACAGCCAUGCUGGGAACCAGCACUACAAAAUUAGUGGGAAAUCACUACAUCACUUUUUGUGGUGUACAAAGACUGAGCCUUGUGGCUGCACACGAGCAAUUCCUGCCAUUUGCUGAACCUGUCCUUCAGAUAUGGGUCUGUGCUGUUCCAGUGGGGAUCAGGAUUUUGGCCUUCUGUCCACAGGUACAUAUGGGUUAAAAGACAACCAUGGAAUACAAAUCUGUUGCCAACAGGCUGAAAUCCACUGUGCAAGGAUUGGCACCUCAGCUGGAGGUCAUCAGCAUGUACCUUGCUACCCAUAAUCAGUGCCUUCAUAGACUCACAAAGGCAUUGUAUCAGAGAACAUCUGCAUGAAACCUUGGCACUGCUAAAGUCAACAAGAGCUUUGACUGUGAUUUUCAGCGUCUUUAUCUGAAAUACUGCUUCAUUUUUUGAAGGUCAGCUGAAAGGGCUGGGUAGUUUUAUGCUUACAUGGUAACAUGAAAAGAAUGACAGGGCUGAAAAGCUUAAUGAUAGUUAAUUUAGGGGCACUAUUAAGGCUGAAUAAAAGUCAGUAUUUAGAGAUAAAAGUGGAUGAAUUCAUUUCUUAAAAAAGGUAGAAUUACUGUAGUAUCAGAAUAAGUGUACUUUAUAAUAGUUUUUCAGAAAAUGUCAGUUCUGGGACAGAAAGAAAAUUCCUAUGUUGUUUUUAAGCUUUCACAUAUAUUAUAAAACUGCUCUCCACAUUAAUUUUCUUGCAAUUACAUUUAGCAGCUUCUCUUUUUUUUAUCAUUCAAAAUAAACCCUGCCAAUACUCUUCAUACUUUCCCUGGACAUAAGGACACAGUUUUGCUGUCUGUGGCUGAGUAAAUAGUUUUUUCAAUGCCCCUUGCUUGGUGACUGGUGUCCCGUUUUACAAAAGGAUUGCGAGCUAGGAUUUAUCAUCCCAGGCAUUUCCUUUGCAGAGCAAAUGGAAAUUACUGAGUUUUCUGGCAUUCAGCAGGGACUGCAGAGAUGUGUAUGCAUGUAUGACCUACUUUUGUGUGCACAACCUGCAUUUAAGGAGAGGAGAUGCACAAGUUGCCAGCUCUGGUGAAGCUGUGAAAAGGGCACCGCCAGAGUCAGACUGUAAGUCCUGAGUCUUCAGACUUUAUGUAACAACUAGAAUAUAACCAGCCCCUAGCCAUGGACUGUAUUUCUCUGGACAGAUGUAGCAAUUUGAAAUAAUUACAUGAAGUGUCUAAAGACCCCAUUCAUGUCGGGUUAAACAAGAGACAAAUGCAGACUCACUUUGUUGGGAGGACUCUGUGUCUGUGCUACUGGAGGAUACUUCUCUCACAGCAUUGCACCUUUUGCUGAGAUACAGCUCCUGAAUCGAUUCAGCUGAGUGUUAUAUAUAAAAAGACGUGAUUUUGGCUUAGCUUGCUAGCUGCAAGAACAGUGUCACCAACCAUAAUAAAAAAACUGUCUCGCCCAGCUUAGAGAUGCCAUUGUAUUCUGCUGUUGAGAGCAGAAGGAAAGAGGAAGGCCUGAAGUCUGGAAAGGCACAGAGGCAGCAAGAAGAAUAAGUCUCUAGAGAGAGGUGACGAACCACAGAACAUUUGCAACAUGGCUGCCACCAAGUCUGCUGCUGCUAUCAAAGCCAGGCAGAGGGUGAAGGAAGGGACCACAAAAGGAUGACAAGGUUGGGUAAACUACAGCCCUGCGACUCAUGCUGUGACUGCCUUGUUAUUUAUGGUUUCCCAGAUGGAUUUGGCUCUUGCAUCUUGUCACAGCCUCAGUGUUUGCCUGCUAAGCUGUGACUGUCUCCUGCACUGUAAAGCCUCAUCUCCUGCUAUCACCAAAGCGUGUCCCUCCCACCUUCCUCCUGGAGGGAAAGCAGCGUGAAAGGAGGCAGCGAGGCCACCGGGAUGCCUGCUCAGCACGGGUGCCCGCCAUAAUUUGAGGAAGAACGUGCCCUUAGCUGCUGCCAGACCGGGAACCCGCGGAGGACAGGACAGCUGUGAUGAGCACACAGCAUCGGGCUGUGCGCCCUGCCAGCUGCCGGGAGGGAUGCCCAGGGAAGCAGCACCAGCACCAGGUGCCGUGUCACACACAAGGAGGACACAGACAGCAGCCCAGCUCGCUGCGAGAAGCCGUCUGAGCGCUCGGACGGCAUCGCUGGCGGCCAGCGCGACACCGAGAGGGCCGCUAGAGGGCUCGGACACUGCGGGCAUCCAAACCCGCGGGAUUGCCGCGCUCUGCAGCGCAGCCAUCGCUGCCGCGCUCCUCCGUGAGAUUCACCGCGCUCUGCACCUCCCUGACCGCCACCGGGGAUAAAUGGCAUCUGCAGAACCUUCUGUGCCUCUGACACAUCAGCUUUUUACUCCGUGAUGCGUGUCAGCAUCAGCGAGUCCUUCUGCAAGUGCAGGGCACUGAUUGUUACUGGAACGGAGUCCUCAGAAGUUGAAAGCAAUUACUUAAGGAGUGAAUGAAGUCCAAAUUGCCACCUAUAGGGGAUUUCCCAUUUUGGAAAAAUUUUUACUUUCAUCUUACUGAAAAAAAAGAGAUAAUAAUUUACUGAAUACUUCAAAGGUAAUACAACAGGGAAUUAUGUCACAGUUUCAGGUUAUAUUGUGUGCAGCUUAUCUGUGUUUCUUGAAUAAAAAGGCAAGCUGUUCCUCAUGCUGAAAUUGCUGAUUUCUGCAAUUUUUUUUUUUUUUUUUUUUUUUUUUUUUUGCAUAGCCUGUGAAAGCUGUUCAAAAGCAUUUUGGCUGAACUGUAUUCUGUCAUAAAAAUAUAAA